rnacentral:rRNA from 1 species
AAAAAAGGUAAGCUACUAAGAGCGAAUGGUGGAUGCCUUGACUGGUAAAGGCGAUGAAGGACGUACUAGACUGCGAUAAGCUACGGGGAGCUGUCAAGAAGCUUUGAUCCGUAGAUUUCCGAAUGGGGCAACCCAAUGUAUAGAGAUAUACAUUACCUAUAUAGGAGCGAACGAGGGGAAUUGAAACAUCUUAGUACCCUCAGGAAAAGAAAUCAAUAGAGAUUGCGUCAGUAGCGGCGAGCGAAAGCGUAAGAGGGCAAACCCAGUGCUUGCACUGGGGGUUGUAGGACUGCAAUGUGCAAGAGGUGAGUUUAGCAGAACAUUCUGGAAAGUAUAGCCAUAGAGGGUGAUAGUCCCGUAUGCGAAAAACAAACCUUAGCUAGCAGUAUCCUGAGUAGGGCGGGACACGAGAAAUCCUGUCUGAAGCUGGGUCGACCACGAUCCAACCCUAAAUACUAAUACCAGAUCGAUAGUGCACAAGUACCGUGAGGGAAAGGUGAAAAGAACUGAGGUGAUCAGAGUGAAAUAGAACCUGAAACCAUUUGCUUACAAUCAUUCAGAGCACUAUGUAGCAAUACAGUGUGAUGGACUGCCUUUUGCAUAAUGAGCCUGCGAGUUGUGGUGUCUGGCAAGGUUAAGCAAACGCGAAGCCGUAGCGAAAGCGAGUCUGAAUAGGGCGCUUAGUCAGAUGCUGCAGACCCGAAACGAAGUGAUCUAUCCAUGAGCAAGUUGAAGCUAGUGUAAGAACUAGUGGAGGACUGAACCCAUAGGCGUUGAAAAGCCCCGGGAUGACUUGUGGAUAGGGGUGAAAGGCCAAUCAAACUUCGUGAUAGCUGGUUCUCUCCGAAAUAUAUUUAGGUA